UUUUGCGCAGCUAUACAUGCAGUCGACGGCAGCGGGUCCAGCAAUGGAUGCCGGCGAGUGGCGCACGGGUGCGUAACACGUAUGCAAUCUACCUUUAACUGGGGGAUAGCCCCGAGAAAUCGGGAUUAAUACCCCAUAAUAUUACGGUGAGGAGUCUCGCUGUAAUUAAAGCUCCGGCGGUUUUAGAUGAGCAUGCGCGACAUUAGCUAGUUGGUGAGGUAACGGCUCACCAAGGCUUCGAUGUCUAGGGGUUCUGAGAGGAUUCACCCCCACACUGGUACUGAGACACGGACCAGACUCCUACGGGAGGCAGCAGUAAGGAAUAUUGGUCAAUGGACGCAAGUCUGAACCAGCCAUGCCGCGUGAAGGAAGACGGCCCUACGGGUUGUAAACUUCUUUUGUACGGGAAAAAACCUCCGGUCGUGCACCGGAGCUGAUGGUACCGUAAGAAUAAGCAUCGGCUAACUCCGUGCCAGCAGCCGCGGUAAUACGGAGGAUGCAAGCGUUAUCCGGAUUCAUUGGGUUUAGAGGGUGCGCAGGCGGAAUGAUAAGUCAGUGGUGAAAUCCUACGGCUCAACUGUAGAACUGCCAUUGAUACUGUCGUUCUUGAGUACACUUGGAGUGGGCGGAAUGUGUCAUGUAGCGGUGAAAUGCUUAGAUAUGACACAGAACACCGAUCGCGAAGGCAGCUCACUAAAUUGUAACUGACGCUCAGGCACGAAAGCGUGGGGAUCAAACAGGAUUAGAUACCCUGGUAGUCCACGCUGUAAACGAUGAUCACUCGAUGUUGGCGAUAUACUGUCAGCGUCUAAGCGAAAGCAUUAAGUGAUCCACCUGGGGAGUACGGCCGCAAGGUUGAAACUCAAAGGAAUUGACGG
rnacentral:rRNA from 1 species